UAAGGCUUUCGCCUUUCGCCGGGCUUGAGAGCUUAUGAUGUUUUUAUCCUUCCUUGGAUGUCUGAGACCAAUUAUGUUUUAGUUAGAUGAUUGUUGC
rnacentral:sRNA from 1 species